rnacentral:rRNA from 1 species
UGGGGAAUAUUGCACAAUGGGGGAAACCCUGAUGCAGCGACGCCGCGUGAACGAAGAAGGUAUUCGUAUCGUAAAGUUCUGUCCUAUGGGAAGAUAAUGACAGUACCAUAGAAGAAAGCUCCGGCUAAAUACGUGCCAGCAGCCGCGGUAAUACGUAUGGAGCGAGCGUUGUCCGGAAUUAUUGGGCGUAAAGGGUACGCCGGCGGUUUAAUAAGUCGAAUGUUAAAGAUCGGGGCUCAACCCCGCAAAGCAUUGGAAACUGAUAAACUUGAGUAGUGGAGAGGAAAGUGGAAUUCCUAGUGUAGUGGUGAAAUACGUAGAUAUUAGGAGGAAUACCAGUAGCGAAGGCGACUUUCUGGACACAAACUGACGCUGAGGUACGAAAGCGUGGGGAGCAAACAGG